UAAAGUGGCGAACGGGUGCGUAACACGUAAGUAACCUACCCUAAACACUGGGAUAACCUUCCGAAAGGAGGGAUAAUACCGGAUAGUUCCCUGAGACAAUAGUUGCAGGGGGAAAGCAGGCCUCUGUUCCAUGCUUGCAGUUUAGGAUGAGCUUGCGGCUCAUUAGCUAGUUGGUAGGGUAAGAGCCUACCAAGGCGACGAUGGGUAGCUGGUCUGAGAGGAUGAUCAGCCACACUGGCACUGAGACACGGGCCAGACUCCUACGGGAGGCAGCAGUGGGGAAUUUUGCGCAAUGGGCGAAAGCCUGACGCAGUAACGCCGCGUGGAGGAUGAAGGCCUUCGGGUUGUAAACUCCUGUCAGGAGGAACGACGGCAAAGGGGUGAAUAAUCUCUUUCGCCAGACGGUACUUCCAAAGGAAGCCCCGGCUAAUUCCGUGCCAGCAGCCGCGGUAA
rnacentral:rRNA from 1 species